AUGAACGCUGGCGGCGUGCUUAACCCCUGCAAGUCGCACGAUGAAGCCCAGCUUGCUGGGUGGAUUAGUGGCGAACGGGUGAGUAACACGUGAGUAACCUGCCCUUGACUCUGGGAUAAGCGCUGGAAACGGCGUCUAAUACCGGAUACGAGCUUCCACCGCAUGGUGAGUUGCUGGAAAGAAUUUCGGUCAAGGAUGGACUCGCGGCCUAUCAGGUAGUUGGUGAGGUAACGGCUCACCAAGCCGACGACGGGUAGCCGGCCUGAGAGGGUGACCGGCCACACUGGGACUGAGACACGGCCCAGACUCCUACGGGAGGCAGCAGUGGGGAAUAUUGCACAAUGGGCGCAAGCCUGAUGCAGCAACGCCGCGUGAGGGACGAAGGCCUUCGGGUCGUAAACCUCUUUUAGCAGGGAAGAAGCGAAAGUGACGGUACCUGCAGAAAAAGCACCGGCUAACUACGUG
rnacentral:rRNA from 1 species